rnacentral:rRNA from 1 species
GAUCCUGGCUCAGGAUGAACGCUAGCGACAGGCUUAACACAUGCAAGUCGAGGGGCAGCGGGGGGGUAGCAAUACUUCGCCGGCGACCGGCGCACGGGUGAGUAACACGUGUGCAACCAACCCCGUACCGGGAGAUAACCCGCGGAAACGUGGACUAACAUCCCAUAAUACUGGAGGAUCGCAUGAUCUUUCAUUUAAAAUUCCGGUGGUACGGGACGGGCACGCGCGACAUUAGGUAGUUGGCGGGGUAACGGCCCACCAAGCCGACG